rnacentral:rRNA from 1 species
CCUACGGGUGGCAGCAGUGAGGGAUAUUGGUCAAUGGGGGAAACCCUGAACCAGCAACGCCGCGUGAGGGAAGACGGUUUUCGGAUUGUAAACCUCUGUCCUCUGUGAAGAUAAUGACGGUAGCAGAGGAGGAAGCUCCGGCUAACUACGUGCCAGCAGCCGCGGUAAUACGUAGGGAGCAAGCGUUGUCCGGAUUUACUGGGUGUAAAGGGUGCGUAGGCGGGCUUGCAAGUCAGAAGUGAAAUCUAUGGGCUUAACCCAUAUACUGCUUUUGAAACUGUAAGUCUUGAGUGAAGUAGAGGUAGGCGGAAUUCCCGGUGUAGGAGUGAAAGCCGUAGAUAUCUGGAGGAACAUCAGUGGCGAAGGCGACUAUCUGGCACAUAACUGACGCUGAGGAGCGAAAGCGUGGGUAGCAAACAGGAUUAGAUACCCGAGUAGUC